rnacentral:tRNA from 1 species
UCCCUGGUGGCUCAGUCAGGAAAGAAUCUGCCUGCAAUGCAGGAGGCCUAGGUUCGAUCCCUGGGUUGGGAA